AGUCAUAGUUCCACUAAUCAGGAGGUCUAGAAGGAGUCAUAGUUCCACUAAUCAGGAGGUCUAGAAGGAGUCAUAGUUCCACUAAUCAGGAGGUCUAGAAGGAGUCAUAGUUCCACUAAUCAGGAGGUCUAGAAGGAGUCAUAGUUCCACUAAUCAGGAGAUCUAGAAGGAGUCAUAGUUCCACUAAUCAGGAGGUCUAGAAGGAGUCAUAGUUCCACUAAUCAGGAGGUCUAGAAGGAGUCAUAGUUCCACUAAUCAGGAGGUCUAGAAGGAGUCAUAGUUCCACUAAUCAGGAGGUCUAGAAGGAGUCAUAGUUCCACUAAUCAGGAGGUCUAGAAGGCGUAAUAGUUCCACCUUUUAAAGCCAUUUUUGGACAGGUUUGAGGUCAUUGCUGUGUCAUUUGAACAGGUUUUGUCAGUUUGGACAUAUUUUGAGAAAUUUUGGACCAUUUUU